rnacentral:pre_miRNA from 1 species
GGAGGGCAAUCUGUCUUUAAGUAGGGGUAAAAUUACUCUCCAAGAAGUAAAGCAUAGUUUUCCCUUCAAGACAAGCGUCUUG